UUUUUUUUUCACUUAGUCAAAUUAGUGUAAUAUGGGUUUAAAUAUUUUUGGACUACUCCUGUUAAAAAACUAAGAAUAAAUUUAAAUUAAUCAAGUCACGAUGAAGUCAUCAAGGACUUCAACCAAAAGUUUUUGUUUGUGCUGUUUGAUUUAAAAAAUGAAACCAUCUUUGUUGCAAAAGUUUGCAUAAAAAUGAUAAUG
rnacentral:lncRNA from 1 species